rnacentral:misc_RNA from 1 species
GCCUGUUCGAGCGUCAUUUCACCAGUCAAGCCUAGCUUGGUAUUGGGAUUCGCGGUUUCGCGGUCCUUAAAAUCAGUGGCGGUGCCUGUAGGCUCUGAGCGUAGUAAUUUUCUCGCUAUAGUCCCCUGCAGGUUGCUUGCCAGCAACCCCAAAUUUUUCAGGUUGACCUCGGAUCAGGUAGGGAUACCCGCUGAACUUAA